CUCAAAGAUUAAGCCAUGCAUGUCUAAGUAUAAGCAAUUAUACCGCGAAACUGCGAAUGGCUCAUUAUAUAAGUUAUCGUUUAUUUGAUAGUACCUUACUACUUGGAUAACCGUGGUAAUUCUAGAGCUAAUACAUGCUAAAAAUCCCGACUUCGGAAGGGAUGUAUUUAUUAGAUUAAAAACCAAUGCCCUUCGGGGCUCACUGGUGAUUCAUGAUAACUCCUCGAAUCGCAUGGCCUUGUGCCGGCGAUGGUUCAUUCAAAUUUCUUCCCUAUCAACUUUCGAUGUUUGGGUAUUGGCCAAACAUGGUUGCAACGGGUAACGGAGGGUUAGGGCUCGACCCCGGAGAAGGAGCCUGAGAAACGGCUACUACAUCCAAGGAAGGCAGCAGGCGCGCAAAUUACCCAAUCCCGACACGGGGAGGUAGUGACAAUAAAUACUGAUACAGGGCUCUUUUGGGUCUUGUAAUUGGAAUGAGUACAAUUUAAAUCCCUUAACGAGGAACAAUUGGAGGGCAAGUCUGGUGCCAGCAGCCGCGGUAAUUCCAGCUCCAAUAGCGUAUAUUAAAGUUGUUGUGGUUAAAAAGCUCGUAGUUGAACCUUGGGCCUGGCUGGCCGGUCCGCCUCACCGCGUGUACUGGUCCGGCCGGGCCUUUCCCUCUGUGGAACCCCAUGCCCUUCACUGGGUGUGGCGGGGAAACAGGACUUUUACUGUGAAAAAAUUAGAGUGCUCCAGGCAGGCCUAUGCUCGAAUACAUUAGCAUGGAAUAAUAGAAUAGGACGUGUGGUUCUAUUUUGUUGGUUUCUAGGACCGCCGUAAUGAUUAAUAGGG
rnacentral:rRNA from 1 species